rnacentral:rRNA from 1 species
UACGUAGGGUGCGAGCGUUGUCCGGAAUUAUUGGGCGUAAAGAGCUCGUAGGCGGUCUGUCGCGUCUGCUGUGAAAUCCCGAGGCUCAACCUCGGGCUUGCAGUGGGUACGGGCAGGCUAGAGUGCGGUAGGGGAGAAUGGAACUCCUGGUGUAGCGGUGGAAUGCGCAGAUAUCAGGAAGAACACCGAGGGCGAAGGCAGUUCUCUGGGCCGUAACUGACGCUGAGGAGCGAAAGCGUGGGGAGCGAACAGG